rnacentral:rRNA from 1 species
UGGGGAAUAUUGCACAAUGGGCGCAAGCCUGAUGCAGCCAUGCCGCGUGUGUGAAGAAGGCCUUCGGGUUGUAAAGCACUUUCAGCGAGGAGGAAGGUGGUGAACUUAAUACGUUCAUCAAUUGACGUUACUCGCAGAAGAAGCACCGGCUAACUCCGUGCCAGCAGCCGCGGUAAUACGGAGGGUGCAAGCGUUAAUCGGAAUUACUGGGCGUAAAGCGCACGCAGGCGGUUUGUUAAGUCAGAUGUGAAAUCCCCGGGCUCAACCUGGGAACUGCAUUUGAAACUGGCAAGCUAGAGUCUCGUAGAGGGGGGUAGAAUUCCAGGUGUAGCGGUGAAAUGCGUAGAGAUCUGGAGGAAUACCGGUGGCGAAGGCGGCCCCCCUGGACGAAGACUGACGCUCAGGUGCGAAAGCGUGGGGGAGCAAACAGGAUUAGAUACCCUGGUAGUCCACGCUGUAAACGAUGUCGAUUUUGGAGGUUGUGCCCUUGAGGCGUGGCUUCCGGAGCUAACGCGUUAAAUCGACCG